rnacentral:rRNA from 1 species
GACGUAGGGGGCCAGCGUUGCUCGGAAUUACUGGGCGUAAAGCGCACGUAGGCGGCUUUCUAAGUCGGGGGUGAAAUCCUGGAGCUCAACUCCAGAACUGCCUUCGAUACUGGAGAGCUUGAGUCCGGGAGAGGUGAGUGGAACUGCGAGUGUAGAGGUGAAAUUCGUAGAUAUUCGCAAGAACACCAGUGGCGAAGGCGGCUAUCUGGACGGUUUCUGACGCCAAGACGCGAAAGCGUGGGGAGCAAACAGG